AAUUUGCAUAAAAAUGGGAAGGGAAGUCUGAAAAAAAAAAUGCAGUGCAGAAAAGUGUGGAAGAGAGGGAGACCUGAAAAUUAGACCACCAUUGAAGGACCUCCUUGGAAGCUUAGUUCCAGAUACUGAUGCAGGUGAGCCAGGAGCUACAUAGGCACGGAGAGGGGUCUAUGGGAUGUUUCAAGAAGAUUUCUGUUAAAUGUUUUUAUUAUGUUUUAAAACUAUGAGUGGUCUGUGAUAAAUUUUAAAUCAUGUGUGAUGUAAGAUAUAACUGAAGUUUUAAAUUUCCUACCUUUUUGGGAAAUUAUGUUUAAUGAAUAUGAGUAUGUUUUCCUUUUAUUA